CCUACGGGAGGCAGCAGUGAGGAAUAUUGGUCAAUGGUCGAGAGUCUGAACCAGCCAAGUAGCGUGAAGGAUGACUGCCCUAUGGGUUGUAAACUUCUUUUAUAUGGGAAUAAAAUGUUCCACGUGUGGGAUUUUGUAUGUACCAUAUGAAUAAGGAUCGGCUAACUCCGUGCCAGCAGCCGCGGUAAUACGGAGGAUCCGAGCGUUAUCCGGAUUUAUUGGGUUUAAAGGGAGCGUAGGUGGGUUGGUAAGUCAGUUGUGAAAGUUUGCGGCUCAACCGUAAAAUUGCAGUUGAAACUGGCAGGCUUGAGUACAGUAGAGGUGAGCGGAAUUCGUGGUGUAGCGGUGAAAUGCGUAGAUAUCACGAAGAACUCCGAUUGCGAAGGCAGCUCACUGGACUGCAACUGACGCUGAGGCUCGAAAGUGUGGGUAUCAAACAGGAUUAGAUACCCGAGUAGUC
rnacentral:rRNA from 1 species